rnacentral:rRNA from 1 species
CUGGCUUGGAACUGUCGAGGAUUGGGGUUGGACUUGAUAGUUGGCGAAUUAAGGGACCUGAUACGGUCAUACAACCGAGCGAUGGUUUUUCUUUCUGAAACGAAGAAGAAGGCGAGAGCGAUGGAGAAACUUAAGUGGAGUUUGGGAUUCAGAAGUGGUGUUGCAGUAGAUUGCCAAGGAUUGAGUGGAGGCCUAGCUCUUUGGUGGAGAGAAAAUGUGCAAGUCAAGGUGAGGCCAUGGUGCCAAUAUUUCAUUGAUGUAGAAAUGAUGUGGGAGGGCAAGACUUAUAGAUUCACUGGUUUCUAUGAGGAUCCCAAGACGGACUUGCGCAAGAAGUCAUGGGAUGCAAUUCGUUUUCUCAAAGCACAAGAUGACCUCCCAUGGAUAUGUGUUGGAGACUACAAUGAGGCUCUUUUCUAA